CGUAGGGGGCGAGCGUUGUCCGGAUUUAUUGGGCGUAAAGAGCUCGUAGGCGGUUCGAUAAGUCGGACGUGAAAUCUCCACGCUCAACGUGGAGGGGCCGUUCGAUACUGUCGUGACUCGAGUCCGGUAGGGGAGUGUGGAAUUCCCGGUGUAGCGGUGAAAUGCGCAGAGAUCGGGAGGAACACCCGUAGCGAAGGCGGCACUCUGGGCUGGUACUGACGCUGAGGAGCGAAAGCGUGGGAGCAAACAGGAUUAGAUACCCUGGUAGUCCACGCCGUAAACGUUGGGCACUAGGUGUGGGACUCUAUCGACGGUUCCGUGCCGUAGCUAACGCAUUAAGUGCCCCGCCUGGGGAGUACGGCCGCAAGGCUAA
rnacentral:rRNA from 1 species